rnacentral:rRNA from 1 species
AUACGGAGGGGGCUAGCGUUGUUCGGAAUUACUGGGCGUAAAGCGCGCGUAGGCGGGCUGGUCAGUUGGUGGUGAAAUCCCAGGGCUCAACCCUGGAACUGCCUUCAAUACUGCCAGUCUUGAGUCCGGGAGAGGUGAGUGGAAUUCCUAGUGUAGAGGUGAAAUUCGUAGAUAUUAGGAGGAACACCAGUGGCGAAGGCGGCUCACUGGCCCGGUACUGACGCUGAGGUGCGAAAGCGUGGGGAGCAAACAGGAUUAGAAACCCGAGUAGUCC